CUAGCUCUGAUGAGUUAACUCGCUUGGGCUCAGGCGAGUCAUCAAAUGCGUCCAAUCCUGACUCAACUCGGGUCCGCUUAUUACUGUUAUUAUUAUUCUCAGUUUUCAACUCUUUUUUCAUGUUGAGACAAAAGCCUUAACAACUGAUGUGAAGAGAUUUCUCAAAAUUAUAAAAUCCAAGAAUAGGACAAUAGGUGGGGGCUAGUGGGGUAACUACUCUAGGCACAAAGUCUAGAAAGAUAAAAUGAGCUUUGGAAAAAAAAAGAGGGAAGGGCAAAAGAGAGAUAUUAGCUUUUGGUAGUUGUAAGUCCUUGUUUGGUUAUAGGAAAGAAGAAAGAGAGAGAAGAGGGAAAAAUAUUUUGAAGCAAUGAAGGAGAUAAGGAAGGGGAAGAUAGUUUAUAUAGUGGGAGAGAAAAGGAGGGGGACCAAAGGGUGAGAGGGAUAAGAUUUGGUUGUGUGUGUGAGAGAAGGAAGAGAGAGAAGGGGAGAAACGAGACAAAAGAUGCUGUUUUCAGGUUGAGAUGCAAAGGUGGAGAGAAGUGGAGCUGGCAAUUAUAGUAGUCCCAUCUUAAGUAUUCGUUUGGCCAUAAAACAAAUGUUUAUUUUCUAGGGAUUAUUUUUCUUUUUUAAAUUAAAAAAUUAGUGUUUGGCUUUUAUUUAAGUACACAUAUGUCCAUAUUGAUAGGGUUUACAACACACAGUAUUUUACCAAAGAGCAACAUAUUCAAUAUAUUUAUUUUCAUAAUAAAACCAAAUAUGAAGGAUAAAGUGCAUAAAAUUUAUAUUUCUACGUUAACAGAUACAUAGAGUAGAGAGAUUGUUUUCAAUAAAUUUUUGGCUAAAACUAAAGUAAUUGGUUAGAAAAAAAUUAAUAUAAAAAUAAGAGAUAAUAAAAAAUAACACAAUAAAUACUGACAGAAAAAAGAUUACCACAAAGUAGUGUUAUAAUUAAUUUAUCUGAAACAACAACAUUAUCAAAACUUCAAAACUAAAGACACUACGGAAUCAUUUGAUGGAUAUACAGAAUAAAUAAUUUCAAAAUAAAAUGAAAAAUUAUUUUAUUUCAUAUUUGAUGUGAGGUAUUAAUUAGUAUCGAAAUUCCAUAAAAGUCAUCCUCAUCUUUUCCUAAUAACUUCAUUAAUUUACCUCUUUUAUCCCUAUCAGCACAUUCAUCGUCGCCGUUUUCAAUUUUACUACUUUUGUCCUCUGGGAUACAAGGAACUUUAUAGCACCGCGCUGCAUUUUAUACUGUACGGCUACUCUAUUACAUCAUCAUUAAUUUUUUAUUACUUUCUCCGUUUCAUUUGGUGUGAUCAUUUUUUUUAAUUCAUUUUAAAAAACAUAUCAUACUUUUUUAUUUAAUAAAUAUUUAAAAACAUAAUUACAUCUUUAUCUUUAUUAAACCCACUUAAUUAAAAAUAAAUAGCGACACAUUUUUAAUAAAAGACAACCUGAUAAAUAUUUUUUAUUUUUUUAAUUUUGUGCCCGAUCAAAUAACACAUAAAAUGAGAGGGAGAGGGAGUACUAAAUACUACCCUUCUCUACUAGUAUAUGACUUGUGAAUCACAUAAAUUAUGUAUAUUUCUUUUGUAAAAUAGAAAAAUAUCACACAAACGUAAGAGCAACGAAUCAAUAGGAGUACAAAGGAGAAAAUCGUCUUUCUUUGUUUUCCUCGCAUUAAAAACAGAAUUUAUACUGAUAAUAUAUUCAAUACUGUAUAAUAGCGCAUGGCAGAAAACAGAAAUACAAUUUGUUUGUUCUAGCAACUUUCUUUGCUUCAAUAAUUAAAUGGGCUAAAAUUAAGCUAAUUGUGUGUGAGUAAUUCUACUGUAUUUUUGGCACUUGGCUGGGUAGACAGUUCAAAUGAGCAAAUUAUAUAAGGAUGAUGUAAAAUUUCCAAAUUCUACCAUCUGAAAACACUUGAUUCUAAAGUAUUGAAUUUCAAAUUUAGCUUUCCUAUUUUUAUGCUGUGCUGCUUUCUGGUUUUCAGAUGUACAAACUAACGCUACCAUUCACAUAACCAAAAAAGUUUCAUCAGUUCAUAGAGCGGGUAAGGAUUCCUGCCGCCAUGAAAAUUCAGAAAAAUCCGACGGCUCCGGGUAAUCAAACAACCCGCCGACUGUUAAAAAGUCGCCGUUGCUAUUACCUCCGUCAUUAUCUCCUUCCCUGAGGUCAUGCUCCAUGCCAAAAUCGAACGUGUCGUAAUUAGGCAUAUCGUCCUCAAAUCUCGCCAUGUUAACGAAUUCAGCUGCCUCAGGCAUGACGUCAGAUUCGGCAUUAACGUUGUGAUCGUUUACCGGAGAUAUUGUCGGAGGUAGACCGAGCUCAUCGUCGGAAGCUUCGAGAAGGUAACCGAGGUCCGUUUGAGAUUCGCCGGAUUCCGAUGGAUUCAGAUCGAGAACGGUCUGAGAAUCGUCGUGAAGAGGUGAGUGAUGAAGGAUUUCUUCCUCAAAACUCUUCAUGACGGAAUCCAGAUCCUGAAUCUCCGGCGGACAUUCGUUCAGAGCAUCAGGCUCAUCUAAGAUAUCCAAUAUAUCUUCUCUUAUCUGCUUAGCCUCCGGCGAAUCCAGGUACACAUCUUUUCGCACGUCAUCGGAAUCCGAUGAGUUGACUCGGUUCAACUCAGACGAGUCGGGAGCGGUCUUCUCUAGCUCUGAUGAGUUAACUCGCUUGGGCUCAGGCGAGUCAUCAAAUGCGUCCAAUCCUGACUCAAUUCGGGUCCGCUUAUUACUGUUAUUAUUUUUCUCAGUUUUCAACUCUUUUUUCAUGUUGAGACAAAAGCCUUAACAACUGAUGUGAAGAGAUUUCUCAAAAUUAUAAAAUCCAAGAAUAGGACAAUAGGUGGGGGCUAGUGGGGUAACUACUCUAGGCACAAAGUCUAGAAAGAUAAAAUGAGCUUUGGAAAAAAAAAGAGGGAAGGGCAAAAGAGAGAUAUUUGCUUUUGGUAGUUGUAAGUCCUUGUUUGGUUAUAGGAAAGAAGAAAGAGAGCGAAGAGGGAAAAAUAUUUUGAAGCAAUGAAGGAGAUAAGGAAGGGGAAGAUAGUUUAUAUAGUGGGAGAGAAAAGGAGGGGGACCAAAGGGUGAGAGGGAUAAGAUUUGGUUGUGUGUGUGAGAGAAGGAAGAGAGAGAAGGGGAGAAACGAGACAAAAGAUGCUGUUUUCAGGUUGAGAUGCAAAGGUGGAGAGAA
rnacentral:lncRNA from 1 species